AUGAACGCUGGCGGCGUGCCUAAUACAUGCCAGUCGAGCGAACAGACGAGGAGCUUGCUCCUCUGACGUUAGCGGCGGACGGGUGAGUAACCCGUGGAUAACCUACCUAUAAGACUGGGAUAACUUCGGGAAACCGGAGCUAGUACCGGAUAAUAUAUUUAACCGCAUGGUUCAAUAGUGAAAGACGGUUUUGCUGUCACUUAUAGAUGGAUCCGCGCCGCAUUAGCUAGUUGGUAAGGUAACGGCUUACCAAGGCAACGAUGCGUAGCCGACCUGAGAGGGUGAUCGGCCACACUGGAACUGAGACACGGUCCAGACGCCUACGGGAGGCAGCAGUAGGGAAUCUUCCGCAAUGGGCGAAAGCCUGACGGAGCAACGCCGCGUGAGUGAUGAAGGUCUUCGGAUCGUAAAACGCUGUUAUUAGGGAAGAACAAAUGUGUAAGUAACUAUGCACGUCUUGACGGUACCUAAGCAGAAAGCCACGGCUAACUACGU
rnacentral:rRNA from 1 species